rnacentral:tRNA from 1 species
GGAAUAUUAUGCUAAGGAGAAAAGCUUCUAACUUUUUACCAAGCGGUUAAAUUCCGUUUAUAUUCCU